GAUGAAGAACGCAGCGAAAUGCGAUAAGUAAUGUGAAUUGCAGAAUUCAGUGAAUCAUCGAAUCUUUGAACGCACCUUGCGCCCUUUGGCCAUUCCGAAGGGCAUGCCUGUUUGAGUAUCAUGAACACCUCAACUCUCAUGGCUUGCCAUGAUGAGCUUGGACUUUGGGGGUCUUGCUGGCUUGUGGUCGGCUCCUCUCAAAUGAAUCAGCUUGCCAGUGUUUGGUGGCAUCACAAGUGUGAUAACUAUCUGCGCUCGUGGUUUCCAUCAGAUAACCUCCAGUGAUGGAGGUUCGCUGGAGCUCAUAAAUGUCUCUCCUAAGCGAGGACAGCUCUUUUAAUGUUUGAUCUCAAAUCAGGUAGGACUACCCGCUGAACUUAAGCAUAUCAAUAAGCGGAGGA
rnacentral:misc_RNA from 1 species